rnacentral:rRNA from 1 species
AGGGUUUGAUCCUGGCUCAGGGUUAACGCUGGCGGCGUGCCUUACACAUGCAAGUCGAACGGGGCUAUCAGCGAUGGUAGCUUAGUGGCGAACGGGUGAGGAAGACGCAGGGACCUACCGACCAGAGGGGGAUACCCGCUGGAAACGGCGGAUAAAACCGCAUACGCCCGGGUGAAAGCCCGGGGAAAAGCACUACGGUGUUACUGGACGAGGGACCUGCGGCCCAUCAGGUAGUUGGGGAGGUAACGGCUCACCAAGCCGACGACGGGUAUCUGGCGUGAGAGCGCGAACAGGCACAAGGACACUGAGAGACGGGUCCUACUCCUACGGGAGGCAGCAGUGGGGAAUAUUGGACAAUGGGCGAAAGCCUGAUCCAGCGACGCCGCGUGUCGGAAGGAGUCCUUCGGGAUGUAAACGACUUUUGGUGGAGACGAAUAAGCAGCUCAGGGAAUGGGGCUGUGAUGACGGUAUCCAUGGAAUAAGCCCCGGCUAACUACGUGCCAGCAGCCGCGGUAAGACGUAGGGGGCAAGCGUUACCCGGAAUUACUGGGCGUAAAGGGAGCGUAGGCGGGAGGUCAAGUCCGGUGUGAAAGACCCUGGCUCAACCAGGGAUGAGGGCUGGAAACUGACAAUCUUGAGUACAGCAGAGGAAGAGGGAAUUACCGGUGUAGGGGUGAAAUCCGUAGAGACCGGUAAGAAGGCCAGUGGCGAAGGCGCUUUUCUGGGCUGUUACUGACGCUGAGGCUCGAAAGCCAGGGGAGCAAACCGGAUUAGAUACCCGGGUAGUCCUGGCCGUAAACGAUGCUCACUAGGUGUGGGGCGCAUAGCGUGCUCUGCGCUGAAGCAAACGCAAUAAGUGAGCCGCCUGGGGAGUACGUCCGCAAGGAUGAAACUCAAAGGAAUUGACGGGGGCCCGCACAAGCGG